GACUAGAAGUAGGAAGACUGGACAUCCUUAACUUGCUCCCAAUCUUAAAUGGAAAACAUUUCACUUCAUCAUAAGGCUCUAUCCUCUUUACCUCACCUCUUUUGUCUUUCCAAGCACAUAUAAUUAGAUCUCCUGGAAUCUAUAUACACCAGCAUCCUUUUUAAUACCCACUACUGUUCGAAGACUCUGCUGGCAGCCCUACCUACCUCAUCAAAUAGGCCUCAUACCUAUAAUAGUAGCAGAGGGCUGAGGUAGUUCUAGCUCUGUCCUUUGUUUGGAUGACCCGGCAGCCUAUUUGGUGGUCAGCCUUCGUAGCCAGGUACUCUCACUGAAUAGAAGGAGCAAACAGAUCUUCUGAAAAGAGGUUCUGUAUCAUAUGCUGUUUAAAAAGGCCUAUAAGGGGGCAACCCCGGUGGCGCAGCGGUUUGGCGCCACCUGCAGCCCAGGGCGUGAUCCUGGAGACCCUGGAUGGAGUCCCAUGUCGGGCUCUCUGUAUGAUGCCUGCUUCUCCCUCUGCCUCUGUC